GGGUAUAGCUCCGUGGUAGAGCACAUGCCUGGCAUGCACGAGGUCCUGGGUUCAAUCCCCAGCACGACCA
rnacentral:tRNA from 1 species